AGAGCGCUGCCGCGUCUCGAGGCCAACCAAUUUGUGUUCCGUUGCUUUGCCGUUUGUAUAAAUCAAUUGGCAAUGAGACGAUGCGAUGCCGAUGCCGAUGCUUGGGAUUCUACUUCUUCUUGGAGACGCGACAACCCGCUGUGCGGUGUCUAUUGGCAUGGCCAUCCUAUAAAUCGCUGCGCCCCCUGCACCAUCUCCCGCUCUCUAAUGCGUUAUGUGUGUGUGUUUUGGAAUAUGAUUUUUCCACUUGUUGCGAGUGCGUGGUGUGCCUGUGCCUAUGUGCCGGAGUGCCCGUGAUUGGUCUAUAAAUUAUUUGGUUUAUUGCAGCCCAAAGGGCACUCCAACGCCACCUCCGCCCCCGUUCUGCUGCGACACUGAUGGAUUACUCACGCUGCCCGUUGCACCUUAUCAGCCACUCCCUCGCCCGUCCUUCAAAUAUUUGCUUCCUUUUCGAUAUAUUAUGUACUUGAGCGCGUUUCUGAUGUAUUUGCUUCGCGACUUUACUUUCAAUUUCGUUUUUAAUUUUCUCAGAUCCACAGCAACAGCAACAGCAACAGCGACGCCACGGAAUUUGAGUUCGAUUUUUGUUAAAAUAUUUGCACAACUUAAGGGUCAGCGGAAUGACAGCACAGCGAGCGGAGACAGGCAGGGGCACCACCGAUAAAGGCCUUGACCUGUGGAUCACCCACCAGACAGACCUCGAUCGAGCCAUGAAUCAAUGAAAACCCAAAAACCUUCCAUCUAUGACACAAAUGCCGAGCUUUUUGUUGCUGCAACAGUAAAGUGCAACAAGCAACGAACAUUGAACAACAGUAAUAAUAUCAGCGGCAUUAAUAUUAAUUAAAUAAACGUUAAUUCAGCGCAUUAAUGCGUAAUAAAUAAUGCUCUUUUGAGGCAGGAAGAAUUAAUGCAUAAAACGCUACUUAUCGCUGCCCGAUUGGCACGAUGCAUCGAUGGAGCGAUGCCGCCGCCAUGCCAUGCCACGCCACGCCACGACACGACACGCCACGCACUUAUCUGUGUCAACACAGAGAGCUGAGCUGCAGCACAUGGACGGGGCCAGAGCCUGACAAACGCAUUGUCAAUAGCCUAUAGAUCCGCCUCUGGUCUGCAUUGGAGUUGGAGCUGAGUCGGAGUCAGAGUUUGGAAUCGUUGGUUGGUUGGCGCGUUGCAAUUACAUGUCUGUGACAAGAAUUUUAAAUGAAAAUCGCUGCGUAGUGCACUGGACAAAUGAUUCAAACUUUCGCAUUACGUGUGGAAAAUGUUUAAAACUCUGCAGAGAGCCGCACAGAGCCACAGACUACUCGGAUUCAAUCUCAAUGGAGGCAGGCGCCAUGCUCCAUGCAGCGGCCAAGCUGUGUGUCCGAGUACGAGUCGGAGUCGGAGUCGUAGUCCGUGCUUUUUGUGCGCUUUGCAUGCCCAAGGAGCGGAGGAGCCGUGCCUCUGGCGACGCGACGCAUGAAAUUAGAAAGGCAUUAUUGCAAAUCUCUCGCUUUAUUUAUCAGCAAUUUGUCAGCAAGUGUGCUGUGUGCUGUGUGCUGCACGGAUUAAAGUGGCAGGCCGCCCCAUGCCCCAUGCCUCAUGCCCCAUGCUUGCCUCUCGUCUGUUUGCCUUUCUAAUGCAAUGCAAUUGACACGGGCUGCAUCUACGCACAAAUUACUCGAGAAAUCAAGCACUCCAGCAGCUGUACAACAGAGUCCGAACUGUACUUCUCCUCUCUCUGUCUCUGUCUCUGUCUCUGUGGGUCAAGUGCAUUCGUUAAUGAACUCUGAGGGUAACCAACGACCCACGCCACUGGAGCCGCCAGCUGAUUUAUGACCCAUGCUGAGCUGCCGCAGCAUUAGAACUAUUCAGAGGAUAGUAGACUAAAGCGCACGGACAGACUGCUGCGGAGGAACACAGCUACCGUGCUGGGACGAGGACUGCGAAUUGCGAACUGCAAGAGGGAGCACCAGGGAGCACCAGGGAGCGAGGACGGGACAGUUGGAGGCUGCAGGCGCAGCCACAAUAAAUCAUCACAUCGAAGGAAGGCCAAUGGUAGUGGUGGUGCUGGUGGCGGAGAGCCGUGUGCCAGUGUGGCAGUGUGGCAGGGGCAGACGUGUACGAGUAACUGCGGCCAAGUUAUGUGGCUUCAUUGUGGACAGAAUGAACGCUUUUAAGCAGACAAUUGCAGCCUGGGGCGCAGCCACAACAGUGCAACGCACCCUCCCACUACCCCUGGCUAUUGUUUGCUGCCGUUCCUCCAACUCGACUGGAGCUUGCCACAGAUUUUCGUAGGCCGCACUGCGGGCAUAAAUCAUUUGGGCCUGCUGCUGCUGCUGCUGCUGCUGCCCCUGCUGGCUCCUGCUGCCGUUGCUGCUGUUGCUCCCCAGCGCCUCCUGCAACUUGCAACUUGCUGCAAUAUGAGUUAAUUUCUAGAGCCCG